rnacentral:rRNA from 1 species
AUUGAACGCUGGCGGCAGGCCUAACACAUGCAAGUCGAACGGUAACAGGAAGAAGCUUGCUUCUUUGCUGACGAGUGGCGGACGGGUGAGUAAUGUCUGGGAAACUGCCCGAUGGAGGGGGAUAACUACUGGAAACGGUAGCUAAUACCGCAUAACGUCGCAAGACCAAAAAGGGGGACCUUCGGGCCUCUUGCCAUCGGAUGUGCCCAGAUGGGAUUAGCUAGUAGGUGGGGUAACGGCUCACCUAGGCGACGAUCCCUAGCUGGUCUGAGAGGAUGACCAGCCACACUGGAACUGAGACACGGUCCAGACUCCUACGGGAGGCAGCAGUGGGGAAUAUUGCACAAUGGGCGCAAGCCUGAUGCAGCCAUGCCGCGUGUAUGAAGAAGGCCUUCGGGUUGUAAAGUACUUUCAGCGGGGAGGAAGGGAGUAAAGUUAAUACCUUUGCUCAUUGACGUUACCCGCAGAAGAAGCACCGGCUAACUCCGUG